rnacentral:rRNA from 1 species
UACGAAGGGGGCUAGCGUUGUUCGGAAUCACUGGGCGUAAAGCGCACGUAGGCGGAUCGUUAAGUCGAGGGUGAAAUCCCAGGGCUCAACCCUGGAACUGCCUUCGAUACUGGCGAUCUUCGAGUCCGGGAGAGGUGAGUGGAAUUCCGAGUGUAGAGGUGGAAUUCGUAGAUAUUAGGAAGAACACCAGUGGCGAAGGCGGCUCACUGGUCCGGUACUGACGCUGAGGUGCGAAAGCGUGGGGAGCAAACAGG